GAAGAUCAAAGCAAAGAUCACUCUAAAGUUCUUGAAAGAGAUUCCAUUACUCGAUGUGCUACAACGUUAUGAGGCUCCUGGUCAUGCUAUAACCAAAGCAUAUGAUUUAGUGCUUAAAAAUGAUCAUCCAGACAAACGGCAUUUGAAAAACUCUCUUGGCGGUAGAGGCGAUGAUAUAGGUGUACGCCUUAAACUAUGGACAGGUCUUUUCUUCAAAGCCUGUCCCGGAACAAAUAAUCUCUAUGCAAAAGUGGAUGUGACCUUCAAAGCGCAGUGGAAAGAGUUGACCACAUCAAACAUUAAUCUUAAAGAAGAGGUCG